UAACGCGAAGAACCUUACCAAGGCUUGACAUCCCCUUGACAGAUGCAGAGAUGUAUCCUCCCCUUCGGGGGCAAGGGAGACAGGUGGUGCAUGGUUGUCGUCAGCUCGUGUCGUGAGAUGUUGGGUUAAGUCCCGCAACGAGCGCAACCCUUAUCCUUAGUUGCCAGCACAUAUGGUGGGCACUCUAAGGAGACUGCCGGUGAUAAACCGGAGGAAGGUGGGGAUGACGUCAAAUCAUCAUGCCCCUUAUGUCUUGGGCUACACACGUGCUACAAUGGUCGGUACAACGGGCAGCGAAGGAGCGAUCCGGAGCAAAUCCCAAUAAACCGAUCCCAGUUCGGAUUGCAGGCUGCAACUCGCCUGCAUGAAGUCGGAGUUGCUAGUAAUCGCGAAUCAGAACGUCGCGGUGAAUGCGUUCCCGGGUCUUGUACACACCG
rnacentral:rRNA from 1 species